AACGAACGCUGGCGGCAUGCCUAACACAUGCCAGUCGAACGAGACCUUCGGGUCUAGUGGCGCACGGGUGCGUAACGCGUGGGAACCUGCCCUUAGGUUCGGAAUAACUCCCCGAAAGGGGUGCUAAUACCGGAUAAUGUCUUCGGACCAAAGAUUUAUCGCCUUUGGAUGGGCCCGCGUUGGAUUAGCUAGUUGGUAGGGUAAAAGCCUACCAAGGCGACGAUCCAUAGCUGGUCUGAGAGGAUGAUCAGCUACACUGGGACUGAGACACGGCCCAGACUCCUACGGGAGGCAGCAGUGGGGAAUAUUGGACAAUGGGCGAAAGCCUGAUCCAGCAAUGCCGCGUGAGUGAUGAAGGCCUUAGGGUUGUAAAGCUCUUUUACCCGGGAUGAUAAUGACAGUACCGGGAGAAUAAGCUCCGGCUAACUCCGUG
rnacentral:rRNA from 1 species